rnacentral:tRNA from 1 species
GUUCAGGGAUGGAAAUCGAACCCACAGUGUUCCACUUACCGGGCAGAUGCUAUGUCCACUAGGAGGCUACCCUGGA